rnacentral:rRNA from 1 species
AACGAACGCUGGCGGCAUGCCUAACACAUGCAAGUCGAACGAGACCUUCGGGACUAGUGGCGCUCGGGUGCGUCACGUGUCGGACCCUGCACUUAGAUUCGGAAUAACUCUCCGACAGGGGUGCUAACACCGGAUAAUGUCUUCUGACCAAAGAUAUAUCGUGCUUGUGUGGGCCCGCGUUGUUUUAGCUUGUUGGUAGGGUAAUAGCCUACCAAAGCGACGAUCCAUAGCUGGUCAGAGAGCAUGAUAAGCCACACUGAGUCGGGGACACGGCCCAGACUCCUACGGGAGGCGGGAGAGGGGGAUAUAGGACAAUCGAGGAAAGCAUGAACCAGCUAGGCCGCGUGAGUGAUGUAGGCCGGAGAGUAGUAAAGCACUUUUACCCGGGAUGAUAAUGACAGUACCGAAAGAAUAAGCUCCGGCUAACUCCGUG